CACAAAAGAAGUUAGACUGUGGAAAACCAAUUCAAGGAACCACUGCCACACAAAGAACCUCAAUCUGCAGUAAGAAACAACAGAAAGGAACAAAAUAUUUCCAAGGAAACAUCUGAGCGUAGUGUUGGAGCCAAGAUGCAAACUGAUUUUCAAGCAACCUAAUUUACUACUUCUCAGAGGGCCCAGUUGUAAAUGGAGACUCAGGGUCAGGAGUGCAAUUUUCGGGCCGGAGGUGCCUUGCUGCACACCCUGCGUAAAUCCACCUUGACAUUUGAAAAGUCAUUCUCAAAAAUCAUCAGAAAGAGUGAAGUCCAAACUCAGUGCUGGCAUAAGUGCUCUUGGACUCGGUGGAACUACGCUUGCUUGUGCCAAUAUUAAAUUUGGACAUCUACCUUAAAGAAAA